ensembl:lncRNA
AUGCCGCCGCCGAGACCCGGGAGCAAGAGGCGGCCAGGGCCUUCCAGCCCCACAGCUGUCCAGCUGGGCGCAGCCCCUGGUGGGGCGGGGCGUCACCAGGGGAUCUUCUCGACCCAGGGAUUGAACCCGGGUUUCUGGACCCCCCUGCACUGGAGGUGGAUUCUUUACCACUGCGCCACCGGAUACAGACUGGCCAAGAAUAAACACAGACUAGAGCAGACGAGACAGCAUCUGAGCGUGCGGGAGGCAGUAUGGCUGCGGGGAGAUGUUUCAGACAGACACAGCACGCGGAGACCCCAGUGCGUCCCAGACAGCAACGCUGCGUGCUGUCUUCCCCCGGGUCACCAUGGAAACAGGUCCACUCUUCUGCCCGGUCACCAUGGAAACAGGUCCACUCUUCGUCAUCAUUCAGUUGCCAUCCUGCCUCCGUCACCUCAUGCUCAGGCCAAAGCGUCCCCUUGUCCACUGAAAAGCACGCUGCAGGCGUCCUGGCUGGCCCCCUCUGGACUCUUUCUGGCCCCCAACCAGCCUGCACGUGGCCACCGCAGCUGUGCGCCAGCAGAGCGCUGCCAGACGCCCUGCCCCGUCCCCUGCCCGCCUGCACUCCCACGUGUGCUCUGUAGCCACCCUAAGAGCGGGCCUGAGGCCAGGAGAGUCACACAGCCCCCCACAGAUCACAUAGUCCCCACGUGGUCACACAGCCCCUGUGGGGUCACACUGCCCCAAGGGGUCACACAGCCCCCACGGGGUCACACUGUCCCCAUAUGGGGNNNNNNNNNNNNNNNNNNNNNNNNNNNNNNNNACGGGGUCACACAGCCCCCACGGGGUCACACUGUCCCCAAGGGGUCACACUGUCCCCACAGGGUCACACUGUCCCCACAGGGGGUCACACUGCCCCCAUGGGAUCACACAGCCCCCAUGGGGUCACACAGUCCCCCACAGAUCACACAGCCCCCCACAGAUCACAUAGUCCCCACGGGGUCACACAGCCUCCCACGGGGUCACACAGCCCCCACAUGGGGUCACACUGUCCCCACAUGGGGUCACACAGCCCCCACAAGGUCACACAGCCCCCACAGGGGGUCACACUGUCCCCACGGGGUCACACUGUCCCCAUGGAGUCACACAGCCUCCCACGGGGUCACACAGCCCCCACAAGGUCACACUGCUCCCAUAGGGUCACACAGCCCCCACAGGGUCACACAGCCCCCAUGGGGCACACAGCCCCUCAAGGGUCCACACAGUCCCCCACAGAUCACACAGCUGCACGGGGUCACACAGCCCCCACGGGGUCACACAGUCCCCACGGGCUCACCCAGCCCCCACGGGGUUACACAGUCCCCACGAGGUCACCCAGCCCCCACAGGGUCACACAGCCCCCAAGGGACCACAGCCUUCUAUGGGUCACACAGCCCCCACAGGGUCACAGCCUUCUCUGGGUCACACAGCCCCUGGGAUCACAUGGCUCCCCACAGCCACUCCCUGGUCCCAGCCCCCCAGGAGAUUUUUGUCCUGAGAAGCUGACCUCAGACAACCAGAAACACAAGUUUCCAAAGACCUGAAGCCAAGGUGUGGAGUUGAGGGACCAUACAAUAGCUCCCAUACAGUCAGGGAGAUUGAUGCCCCAGCAUCUCAGGCCAGGAGCCUCACCCAGACCCCUCACCCUGCCUAGUGGAAGAGGUCUGGUCUCUGCUCCAGGCGGCCCGUCUAGCCAAACAAGCCACUGGGCUCCCCCGGCCCACGCCCGUCCCCUCUCGUCCCCAUGGACCCCUGGGCUUCCCGGCCCACGCUCAUCCCCUCUGUCCCCGUGGACUCCUGAGCUCCCCGGCCCAUGCCAGGGAGCCUUCCUCCUUGUGGACCCCUGGAUGCCCCCGGCCCACGCCCGUCCCCUCAGUUCCCAUGGUGCCCAGACGUGCUGCAAGGCCGAGCCAGCAGGUGCCCUGUCCUGGGCGGCAGCCAGCCUGUCUGCCCACAGGCCCAGGGCGCUGACCUAGCAACAUGGGCCCCAGGUGUUCUCACAACUCACAGAAAACCGACCCAAGGUUCUGGGCCUUCAGGGCUGCCGAGUAUGAGCCUGAACACUGCCCUCCUCCCUGAGAUCUGCGCUGCACNNNNNNNNNNNNNNNNNNNNNNNNNNNNNNNNNNNNNNNNNNNNNNNNNNNNNNNNNNNNNNNNNNNNNNNNNNNNNNNNNNNNNNNNNNNNNNNNNNNGCCGAGUAUGAGCCUGAACACUGCCCUCCUCCCUGAGAUCUGCGCUGCACCCGCAAGUCUGGGACAAGCACAGCGGCGGGCCGGGCCGUGUGUCCCAGCAGCCCCCACGGGACCCACCCUUCCAUCAGGGCUGGCACAGCCCGCAGGACCCGGGCUGGACCCCAGAUAGCGGAGCAACACCCCCCAGCUGGCCCUCCAGGGAGGCCCCGGGAAGAGGCUGGUCAUGUCCCCCCGCCCUCAAGGAGCGGUGGUGGAGGCACAGCACCCCCCGUGGGCCAGGACAGGACGGGGGGCACUUGCAGACGCCACGCCCCUCCCCUCCUGACCUCCGCAGCAUGGGUGGGCUCUAGGGCUCAGGGCCCGGCCAGCAUCCUAAACUGCACAGACGGGUGAUUGGGCUGAAGUGCAGGAGCUGGGCGGGGGACACGGCCAGCCUCCCAGAAGGUGACCACAGGACUGAAGCCAGCAGAGCCCAACCCCCAGCAGCCGCCCACCCAGGCCUCCAGCCCAGACACCAGAUGCCUGUCUCCUCUGCCCACAUUCCUCUUACCCGAACCACCCAGCAGGCCCAGGACAAGGCCGGCCGGGCAGGAGAGGGGGGCUCCCCACUGCCUGAAAUGAAGCCCACGAGGGUGAACUCAGAGCAAAUGCCCGGUCCAGGGCGAUGCCCCAGGAGGCCUUGGUCCAUCAGGCGCUC